AAAAUGUUGGUGGAACUUAUUGAGAAGUAAGGAACAAGCCGAGCCCUAUUUUGUACAAGGGGAACCCUUUUGGUACCAAAGGGUUGAGUCCAGGCGAAGGAUCCAGUGGUGGACGGGGAAAGGAGCAAAGCUAGGGGUUUGCUUGUGAUUUGUAAAGAACUGCAACCCCUUUCUUUUGAGCAAAUAUAUUGUAAUGUAUUUAAGAUUAGGGUGCCAGUAGGAUAUGAUUAUGUGUGUGUGUGUGUGAAUAUGUGUGGAUUGUGUGCUUGUGUAUGAAUUUUUGUCUGUUUGCAGAAUUGUGGCUAGGAAACUUGGUUAUGGUAUGUGGUUUUGAUGGAUUUACUUAGUAGACCAAGUUUCUAUUACAAGCAGAUCUUUAUUUUGAUA